rnacentral:rRNA from 1 species
UUUCCUGGGGAAGGCUCGUCCUCCCAGGGUUAGUCGGGACCUAAGGCGAGGCCGAAAGGCGUAGUCGAUGGAUAACAGGUUGAUAUUCCUGUACUUCUGUUAAUUGUUUGAGCAAUGGAGGGACGCAGGAGGCUAAGUUGAGCGUACGACUGGAAAUGUACGUCCAAGCAGCGAGUCCGCUGAUGAGUGAAAUGCUUGUCACGUACGGGGUGAGCUGUGAUGGGGAGCGAAAUAUAGUAGCGAAGCAACUGACGUCACACUGCCGAGAAAAGCUUCUAGUGAGAUUAACAGAACCCGUACCGCAAACCGACACAGGUAGUUGAGUGGAGAACACUAAGGUGAGCGAGCGAACUCUCGUUAAGGAACUCGGCAAAAUGACCCCGUAACUUCGGGAGAAGGGGUGCUGGUAGCAAUACCAGCCGCAGUGAAUAGGCCCAGGCGACUGUUUAUCAAAAACACAGGUCUCUGCAAAAUCGAAAGAUGACGUAUAGGGGCUGACGCCUGCCCGGUGCUGGAAGGUUAAGAGGAGAGGUUAGCGCAAGCGAAGCUUUGAAUUGAAGCCCCAGUAAACGGCGGCCGUAACUAUAACGGUCCUAAGGUAGCGAAAUUCCUUGUCGGGUAAGUUCCGACCCGCACGAAAGGCGUAACGAUUUGGGCACUGUCUCAACGAUGGACUCGGUGAAAUCAUAGUACCUGUGAAGAUGCAGGUUACCCGCGACAGGACGGAAAGACCCCAUGGAGCUUUACUGUAGUUUGAUAUUGAGUGUUUGUGUCACAUGUACAGGAUAGGUAGGAGCUGAAGAAUCCGGGACGCCAGUUUCGGAGGAGGCAACGGUGGGAUACUACCCUUGUGACAUGACCACUCUAACCCGCACCCCUAACCGGGGUGGGAGACAGUGUCAGACGGGCAGUUUGACUGGGGCGGUCGCCUCCUAAAAUGUAACGGAGGCGCCCAAAGGUUCCCUCAGAAUGGUUGGAAAUCAUUCGUAGAGUGUAAAGGCAGAAGGGAGCUUGACUGCGAGACCAACAAGUCGAGCAGGGACGAAAGUCGGGCUUAGUGAUCCGGUGGUUCCGUAUGGAAGGGCCAUCGCUCAACGGAUAAAAGCUACCCUGGGGAUAACAGGCUUAUC